rnacentral:rRNA from 1 species
GACGAACGCUGGCGGCGCGCCUAACACAUGCAAGUCGAACGGAGCUGAGAGAAGCUUGCUUUUCUUAGCUUAGUGGCGAACGGGUGAGUAACGCGUGAGUAACCUGCCCUGGAGUGGGGGACAACAGUUGGAAACGACUGCUAAUACCGCAUAAGCCCACGAUCCGGCAUCGGAUUGAGGGAAAAGGAUUUAUUCGCUACAGGAUGGACUCGCGUCCAAUUAGCUAGUUGGUGAGGUAACGGCCCACCAAGGCGACGAUUGGUAGCCGGACUGAGAGGUUGAACGGCCACAUUGGGACUGAGACACGGCCCAGACUCCUACGGGAGGCAGCAGUGGGGGAUAUUGCACAAUGGGGGAAACCCUGAUGCAGCGACGCCGCGUGGAGGAAGAAGGUUUUCGGAUUGUAAACUCCUGUCGUUAGGGACGAUAAUGACGGUACCUAACAAGAAAGCACCGGCUAACUACGUG